rnacentral:lncRNA from 1 species
AGGUGGCAUAUUGGUUUUUCUGGAAUCCGUUGCGAAACUGUUCUUAUCUACUUAAAGGGAACUCAUUUGAAGUCUGAGUCUUGAGGGAAUAGGCAGAACAGGCAUGUUGGAAGGAAAGUAUGAGUCUCAGGUGAACAAAAAUUGUUUGCUGGCCCCCAGGAUACUAACUAGACCUUUGGCCUGACUCACAGGACACUAAGGCUCCUUUUCUGAAGAAGCCUUUUACCAGUCUCAUUUAGGGGAUGGGAACAACAUGUCUUCACCUAGGGACUUUAGAGCAGAGCCUGUAAACGAUUAUGAGGGAAAUGACUCUGAAGCAGAAGACUUGAAUUUCAGGGAGACUUUGCCUUCAUCAAGUCAGGAAAACACACCUAGAUCAAAGGUUUUUGAAAAUAAAGUUAAUUCAGAGAAGGUAAAACUUUCUCUUCGGAAUUUCCCACAUAAUGAUUAUGAGGAU